CUACGGGUCGCUCCAGUGGGGAAUAUUGCACAAUGGGCGCAAGCCUGAUGCAGCAACGCCGCGUGAACGAAGAAGGUCUUCGGAUCGUAAAGUUCUUUUCUUAGGGAAGAAAAAUGACGGUACCUAAGGAAUAAGCACCGGCUAAAUACGUGCCAGCAGCCGCGGUAAUACGUAUGGUGCAAGCGUUAUCCGGAAUCACUGGGCGUAAAGGGAGCGUAGGCGGUUUUGCAAGUCAGAAGUGAAAGGCUACGGCUCAACCGUGGUAAGCUUUUGAAACUGCAAGACUAGAGUGCAGGAGAGGCAAGUGGAAUUCCUAGUGUAGAGGUGAAAUUCGUAGAUAUUAGGAGGAACACCAGUGGCGAAGGCGACUUGCUGGACUGUAACUGACGCUGAGGCUCGAAAGCGUGGGGAGCGAACAGGAUUAGAUACCCUAGUAGUC
rnacentral:rRNA from 1 species